UAGUCCACGCCGUAAACGAUGGUCACUAGCUGUUUGGUUUUCGGACUGAGUGGCUAAGCGAAAGUGAUAAGUGGCCCACCUGGGGAGUACGUUCGCAAGAAUGAAACUCAAAGGAAUUGACGGGGCCCGCACAAGCGGUGGAGCAUGUGGUUUAAUUCGAUGAUACGCGAGGAACCUUACCAGGGCUUAAAUGUAGUCUGACAGCUUUAGAGAUAGAGUUUUCUUCGGACAGAUUACAAGGUGCUGCAUGGUUGUCGUCAGCUCGUGCCGUGAGGUGUCAGGUUAAGUCCUAUAACGAGCGCAACCCCUGUUGUUAGUUGCCAGCGAGUAAUGUCGGGAACUCUAGCAAGACUGCCGGUGCAAACCGCGAGGAAGGUGGGGAUGGACGUCAAAUCAUCACGGCCCUUACGUCCUGGGGCCACACACGUGCUACAAUGGCCAGUACAGAGAGCAGCCACUUAGUGAUAAGGAGCGAAUCUAUAAAGCUGGUCAC
rnacentral:rRNA from 1 species